AGUAAAGAUUUUAAGGGCGUACGGUGGAUGCCUUGGCGAUAUCAGCCGAAGAAGGACGCGGUAAGCUGCGAUAAGCUACGGAGAGGUGCAAGCAACCUUUGACCCGUAGAUUUCCGAAUGGGGGAACCCGGCAGUGGUUAUGCACUGUCACCCAUAGCUUAGACUAUGAGGAGGGCACCUGGGGAACUGAAACAUCUAAUUACCCAGAGGAAAAGUAAUCAAACGAGAUUUUCUUAGUAGCGGCGAGCGAACGGGAAAGAGGCCAAACCGGAGCGGGCAACCGCACCGGGGUUGAGGACAGUCAUCAAGUGUAAAUGAGGUAGAAGAAUCGAGUUGGAAAGCUCAGCCGAAGAAGGUGAAAGCCCUGUAAUCGAAACCUUGCAUACAUGGGACUGUAUCCAGAGUACCACGAGACACGUGAAACCUUGUGGGAAGCAGGGGGGACCACCCUCCAAGCCAAAAUACUGAUAUCGACCGAUAGCGCAUAGUACCGUGAGGGAAAGGUGAAAAGAACCCCUGGCGGGGAGUGAAAGAGAACCUGAAACCGUAUGUCUACAAACAGUCGAAGUCUGUAUAUAUAUCAGGACGACGGCGUGCCUAUUGAAGAAUGAACCGACGAGUUACUGUUGCUAGCGAGGUUAAGUGGAAAACAUGGAGCCGCAGCGAAAGCGAGUCUGAACAGGGCGUUCAGUUAGUAAUAGUAGACCCGAAACCGUAGUGAUCUAUCCAUGGCCAGGUUGAAGCACAGGUAAAAUUGUGUGGAGGACCGAACUCGUGAGCGUUGAAAAGCUUUGGGAUGAGUUGUGGAUAGGGGUGAAAUGCCAAUCGAACACGGAGAUAGCUGGUUCUCCCCGAAAUAGCUUUAGGGCUAGCCUCGAGGUUGAGAGUAUAGGCGGUAGAGCACUGAUCGGGCUAGGGGCCAUACCGGUUACCGAACCUAGUCAAACUACGAAUGGCUAUACUUAUACUCGGGAGUCAGACAGUGAAUGAUAAGGUCCAUUGUCAAGAGGGAAACAGCCCAGAACACCGACUAAGGUCCCAAAUGUUACACUAAGUGGCGAAGGAUGUGGAGUUUCCAAAACAACCAGGAUGUUGGCUUAGAAGCAGCCACCAUUUAAAGAGUGCGUAAUAGCUCACUGGUCGAGAGACUCUGCGCCGAAGAUGUCCGGGGCUAAAGUGUAAAACCGAAGUCGUGUCAUAUGCAGCAAUGUAUAUGGGUAGGGGAGCGUUCUCAUCGGGCUGAAGCAGUACCGUAAGGAGUUGUGGACUGAUGAGAAGUGAGAAUGUCGGUAUGAGUAGCGAAAAGAAUGGUGAGAAUCCAUUCCACCGAAAGCCUAAGGGUUCCUGAGCAACGAUCGUCGUCUCAGGGUAAGUCGGGACCUAAGCCGAGGCGGAAAAGCGUAGGCGAUGGACAACAGGUUGAAAUUCCUGUACCGGUGUGAAUCGUUUGAUCGAUGGAGUGACACAGUAAGGUAGGUCAGCACGCGAUUGGAAGUGCGUGUUUAAGCAGGUAGGUUGAGCUAUAGGCAAAUCCGUAGCUCUAAAAGCUGAGAUGUGAUGACGAGUUACUAGCGAUAGUAACGAAGUGAUUGAUCCUACACUGUCGAGAAAAGCUUCUAGGUAGAGACACAUCGCCCGUACCAAAACCGACACAGGUAGGCGGGGAGAGAAUCCUAAGGUGCGCGGGAAAACCCUCGUUAAGGAACUCGGCAAAAUGCCUCCGUAACUUCGGGAAAAGGAGGACUCAUGUAGUGUGAAGAGCAGCAACGCUUGGAGCAUGAAUGAGUGGCACAAGAGAGGCGCAAGCGACUGUUUACCACAAACACAGGUGCCUGCUAAAGCGAAAGCUGACGUAUAGGUGCUGACACCUGCCCGGUGCUGGAAGGUUAAGAGGAGGGGUUAGACUUCGGGUCGAAGCUCUGAAUUGAAGCCCCAGUAAACGGCGGCCGUAACUAUAACGGUCCUAAGGUAGCGAAAUUCCUUGUCGGGUAAGUUCCGAC
rnacentral:rRNA from 1 species